rnacentral:rRNA from 1 species
UGGGGAAUAUUGCGCAAUGGACGAAAGUCUGACGCAGCGACGCCGCGUGUGGGAGGAAGCCUUUCGGGGUGUAAACCACUGUCAGAGGGGAAGAACAGCGCCAUGUCGAACAGGCUUGGCGUUUGACGGUACCCUCAGAGGAAGCGCCGGCUAACUCCGUGCCAGCAGCCGCGGUAAGACGGAGGGCGCAAGCGUUGUUCGGAAUUACUGGGCGUAAAGGGCGGGCAGGUGGUCCGUUAAGUCGUCUGUGAAAAUCCGGGGCUCAACCCCGCGAAAUGCAGACGAUACUGGCGGACUAGAGAUCGGUAGAGGCUAGCGGAAGUCCUGGUGUAGCGGUGGAAUGCGUAGAUAUCAGGAAGAACACCCGUGGCGAAGGCGGCUAGCUGGGCCGAGUCUGACACUCAUCCGCGAAAGCGUGGGGAGCAAACAGGAUUAGAUGCCCCCGUAGUCC